GAUGAACGCUGGCGGCGUGCCUAAUACAUGCAAGUCGAGCGAACAGACGAGGAGCUUGCUCCUCUGACGUUAGCGGCGGACGGGUGAGUAACACGUGGAUAACCUACCUAUAAGACUGGGAUACCUUCGGGAAACCGGAGCUAAUACCGGAUAAUAUAUUGAACCGCAUGGUUCAAUAGUGAACGACGGUUUUGCUGUCACUUAUAGAUGGAUCCGCGCCGCAUUAGCUAGUUGGUAAGGUAACGGCUUACCAAGGCAACGAUGCGUAGCCGACCUGAGAGGGUGAUCGGUCACACUGGAACUGAGACACGGUCCAGACUCCUACGGGAGGCAGCAGUAGGGAAUCUUCCGCAAUGGGCGAAAGCCUGACGGAGCAACGCCGCGUGAGUGAUGAAGGUCUUCGGAUCGUAAAACUCUGUUAGUAGGGAAGAACAAAUGUGUAAGUAACUAUGCACGUCUUGACGGUACCUAAUCAGAAAGCCACGGCUAACUACGUG
rnacentral:rRNA from 1 species